rnacentral:rRNA from 1 species
AACGCUGGCGGCGUGCCUAACACAUGCAAGUCAACUUGACUGAAGGAGCAAUCUGACAGUAGAGUGGCGCAAGGGUGCGUAACGCGUAAGUAACUUGCCCCAAGGUAAGGAAUAACGUCGAGAAAUCGGCGCUAAUACCUCAUAAUGCAGCGGAUCCGCAUGGAUAUGUUGUUAAAGGUUUACCGCCUUGGGAUAGGCUUGCGUCUGAUUAGCUAGUUGGUGUGGUAACGGCACACCAAGGCUACGAUCAGUAACUGGUCUGAGAGGAUGAUCAGUCACACUGGAACUGAGACACGGUCCAGACUCCUACGGGAGGCAGCAGUGAGGAAUACUGGGCAAUGCUCGAAAGAGUGACCCAGCAACGCCGCGUGGAGGAUGAAGGUAUUCUAUAUCGUAAACUCCUGUGAGAGCAGACGAAAGACAGAUUAUUAAUCUGGAUGACUGUAUGCUCAGAGGAAGCCCCGGCUAACUACGUG